CGUGUAUUGUCGCGCCUCCAUAUUUGAGGCAAAUGUCAAUUUUGCCCGUUUGCCAAGUUUUCGACUAUUCUGCCAACUUUUCGACACACAAUUCCAUAGUCCCUCGCAUUUCCGAGGUUUAACUGCCAACGCCUAACCCGCGAACGGGCAUAUUCUCCUAAAAUGUAACGAGGGACUGUGGAAGAGUCAGUAGAAGACAUGUACGUUUCUACUCAACCGUUUCGCUACUUCUAAAUGGG